rnacentral:tRNA from 1 species
GGGCGGUUGGCGCAAUUGGUUAGCGCGCCUGACUUACAUUCAGGAGGUUUACAGGUUCAAGUCCUGUACCGCCCACCA